rnacentral:rRNA from 1 species
GAUGAACGCUGGCGGCGUGCCUAAUACAUGCAAGUCGAGCGAACAGACGAGGAGCUUGCUCCUCUGACGUUAGCGGCGGACGGGUGAGUAACACGUGGAUAACCUACCUAUAAGACUGGGAUAACUUCGGGAAACCGGAGCUAAUACCGGAUAAUAUAUUGAACCGCAUUGUUCAAUAGUGAAAGACGGUUUUGCUGUCACUUAUAGAUGGAUCCGCGCCGCAUUAGCUAGUUGGUAAGGUAACGGCUUACCAAGGCAACGAUGCGUAGCCGACCUGAGAGGGUGAUCGGCCACACUGGAACUGAGAAACGGUCCAGACUCCUACGGGAGGCAGCAGUAGGGAAUCUUCCGCAAUGGGCGAAAGCCUGACGGAGCAACGCCGCGUGAGUGAUGAAGGUCUUCGGAUCGUAAAACUCUGUUAUUAGGGAAGAACAAAUGUGUAAGUAACUAUGCACGUCUUGACGGUACCUAAUCAGAAAGCCACGGCUAACUACGUG